CCUACGGGGGGCAGCAGUGGGGAAUAUUGCACAAUGGGGGAAACCCUGAUGCAGCGACGCCGCGUGAGUGAAGAAGUAUUUCGGUAUGUAAAGCUCUGUCAGCAGGGAAGAAAAUGACGGUACCUGACUAAGAAGCCCCGGCUAACUACGUGCCAGCAGCCGCGGUAAUACGUAGGGGGCAAGCGUUAUCCGGAUUUACUGGGUGUAAAGGGAGCGUAGGCGGCAGGGCAAGUCGGAUGUGAAAGCCCGGGGCUCAACCCCGGUACUGCAUUUGAA
rnacentral:rRNA from 1 species